UGGGGAAUAUUGGACAAUGGGGGCAACCCUGAUCCAGCCAUGCCGCGUGUGUGAAGAAGGCCUUAGGGUUGUAAAGCACUUUCAGUGGGGAGGAAAAGUUAACGGCUAAUACCCGUUAGCCCUGACGUUACCUACAGAAGAAGCACCGGCAAACUCCGUGCCAGCAGCCGCGGUAAUACGGAGGGUGCGAGCGUUAAUCGGAAUUACUGGGCGUAAAGGGUGCGCAGGCGGUUUGUUAAGACAGGUGUGAAAUCCCCGGGCUUAACCUGGGAAUUGCGCUUGUAACUGGCAGGCUAGAGUGUGGCAGAGGGGGGUGGAAUUCCACGUGUAGCAGUGAAAUGCGUAGAUAUGUGGAGGAACACCGAUGGCGAAGGCAGCCCCCUGGGUUAACACUGACGCUCAUGCACGAAAGCGUGGGGAGCAAACAGGAUUAGAUACCCUGGUAGUCCACGCCCUAAACGAUGUCAACUAGUUGUCGGGGAAGCAAUUCCUUGGUAACGAAGCUAACGCGUGAAGUUGACCGCCUGGGGAGUACGGCCGCAAGGUUA
rnacentral:rRNA from 1 species